rnacentral:rRNA from 1 species
GUUGACCUCGGAUCAGGUAGGGAUACCCGCUGAACUUAAGCAUAUCAAUAAGCGGAGGAAAAGAAACCAACAGGGAUUGCUCUAGUAACGGCGAGUGAAGCAGCAAUAGCUCAAAUUUGAAAUCUGGCGUCUUCGACGUCCGAGUUGUAAUUUGUAGAGGAUGCUUCUGAGUAACCACCGACCUAAGUUCCUUGGAACAGGACGUCAUAGAGGGUGAGAAUCCCGUAUGCGU